AUCAUAAUCUACAGAGGAGAUAGUGCAGCCUUGUCUUACUUCUGGCCAUAAAUGGAAAGCAUUUUCCACAGAUGAAUCUGUGCCUUUUGUGUAUCCUUUUAGUAAUAUGAAGGAAGAAUAUGGCAUUGGCAGAGAGACCAGAUCUUCAAGAUCUCAGCACUCAGAAAUGAAAAUGUGUGUUAGUGUGGUAAUCCGCUGGGAAAGGACUCUUCACAUGAUGCCAGACUGACAAAAAAUGCAGGAAAAAAUUACAUUUACCAAGUAUUAAUACCAGAAAUGCAUUUAUGAGUUUUAAGACCUGGCAUUGAGAUAUGUCAACUCUUGGUAGUACCUCAUUUGAUUUAGAAGGAGAUGAUGAGCAUCAAAAUCCUUCAUAUGGAGUUGCUUCAAUUAUGGCAAGCUAACCACAGGGCAAAGAAAAUGCUCUUUCUUCAUCUACAGAGAGAAUGCUGUCCAGAAAGGACAGAAGAGAAGUCAACUGCCAAGUUCUGCCUAGAUAGAGUAAACAAGUCCUUCAUAAUUCCUGCUUCACAAAAAGUCUGUCAGAUGUUCUGGACCAGAAGGAUGAAGAUAGAUGCUUCAGAGUUCUAGAGAAUAUUGGGGACUGUCCAGCCUUGGUGAGCUUCCAUUUAGCAGAAAUUGUUCCUAGCCCACAUGUCUGGAUCAGCCCCAAGAAGCUUCUAGAAGGUGGAUAACCGGGGCCACUUUUAAAAAGUGGCACAUGUGACAAGUGUGCACAAACAAACCUCCAAACAAAAUGGUCAUACUGGAAGCCUCUUCUUUCAAGAAGGAAAACACAGCAAAUGCAGAGUCACGGGCCUUGAACAGGCAGAAUGAUUACUGACUUCUGAGAACAAAAGAAUAUGAGAAAAGACUUUGGAGGUAAAACCCACAGAGAAGAGGCAUUGAGAUGCAUAAAUGACAUCACUUAUGCCAUCUGCUUCGCUUUUAAAGUAGGAAACAACACAUUAUCCUGAAAUACUGCAUACAGUCAUACAGUGAGGACAGAUGACUGUCCCAGGCACCAAAAUGGCACAGUGAGCUCUGCCACUGUGAGCAAAACUGAUCUCACCAGGUCUGGAAGGCUCAUCAUGGAUUAAAGGAAACCUGGAUGCUCUGGACCUGCGCAAUUGAUCAUAGAAGUCUACUGUCUGUUCCCAUCCUGCCUUCAGGCUGAGUCUAGUGAGGUACUCCAGGGUUUGAACAUACUGAAAGACCAGCACACUCCUUAAUUAUAUUAUUCUACAUAAUCAUAUUAUGUAGCAAUUUUCAUCCAGUUAAAAUAUUCUUUACUUGAGGAAGUCUUCUUAAGGAUUAGGAGGCUUUAAGUGGAAACAUUGCUUCCAGAAAUGUUGAAGAGACUUCGGAAGCAAACUCAGAAGUCUCAAGAAGCUCCUGAAGCUGACAAGGCUCCGUUCCCCCUGCUUAGAGCAAUCUGUGGAUCCUGAGAGAGGAAGUGAGGCCGGGAGGCUGGAGCGAAAGAGACUGAACAAACAGCAAUUGAGCAAGGCACAGACUCUUGAGGCUGGUUGAGUGAGACAGCUCCUUCAAUGGGAGGAACAAAGGCUUUGAGGGCCAUAUUCACAUCUGGGAAGCACUCUGCUAGCAGCAUGAAAGCAGUUUUUGAAUAGAGAGUUAUUAAAAGGUUGGUGACCCAGGACUGGCAAUCCUGGGGUUGUCAUGAGUGACCAUUGCACUCGAUCAAGGGUUAUGAAACACGUAUCACGUGGGGGAGCAAGCGUGGAUCUCUGAUGGUGAAAAUAACAUCAUCUCUCUAGCUGAUUGUGCGAAUCACACCAUCCCUCUAACCAACUGUGCAAACCCUUUCUCUUCCCUAUUGACCGAGGAAAUCACAUCAUCUCUCUAAAAUUAGUCUUCCUUUCUGAAAAGCAAGCCUAAGUGGAGGUCCUGUUCUGAUUUUCUGACCCUGUGGGUGACUGUGUUAGGGCAGCUUGCCUGUGUUUCUUUCUUUAUCAUUCUGUCUGUACUGUCUUUUAUUACUGUGUACUGUCAGCAGCGACAAUUUCCUCAAAGUUUAAAAUAGCAAAAGUGUACAAAGGUGGAAAAAAAUACAAAGCUUUAUCUUGCCCUCUAAGAAGCCCCAUGGUGUGACUUUCCCAGGUACUUCAGAUCUCCUGGAGACCUGUAACGUGUCCUCGUAUCUUUACCUUCUUUGGAUGGUAGGAACUCACAUCUACAAGGCUGUAUUUCAAGAGGAGAUGACAGACAUUUGUGAGAUUUUAGUGUUUCUAGCAUUGCCCUUGUCAUUUAAUGACUCCUCCCCAAGUGUGGCACUCAGCAUGGUGGUGCUGACUUCAGCUCCAGUCAUGUUUGAUCUCUUGCCUUCAUGCUGAAUGACUAUUCCAUGUCUCCGGGGCACUGUGUUUUUCUGUUGCUAUCCUAGUUCCUUAGUGCCACCCUGGCUUUUCUCUAAAGUGCUGCCACCACCCCUGCAGUGCUCACCAAACACUGUCAACAACCUCUCUUGAGUUUACACAGCCACCCCUCUUAUCCCUGACUGCCUGCAGCAAAAAGAAAGAAAUUGCACCUCCAUCUUCCUCCCUCCCAGCUGUCGGCACUGUGCUAAAAACAAAACCCUUCAGCUUCCUAAACAAACAAGCUUGCAGUAUUCAGAAUGUGUCCCGGUAUGUGGUCAUAUAUUUCUGUAAGGUUCUUUAAGGACACAGGUCUUUCAAAACCAUUUCAAUGUAUGCUACAUGAGAGAUGAUUAUGUUUAACCCCAAGGUAGGAAGAGUGGUCCUGCUGCUUGGCUGGCUGUAUCUUCUGAGGCGCAUAAUUGGCUGCUCUGGUUCACAGGAAUAAAUUUCAUCUUAAAAUCUGU
rnacentral:lncRNA from 1 species